UGUUUUAAAGGACUUUUUGGUUUUUGGUCCUUAAGAUUAGGAUAAAUAGAAUAAAUUACUUUAGGGAUAACAGCGUUAUAAUUUUAGAAAGAUCUUAUUAGUAAAAUUGAUUGCGACCUCGAUGUUGAAUUAAAAGAGCUUUAUGGGGCAGCGGCUAUUUAAGCAGGUUUGUUCAACCUUUAUAAUUUUACAUGAUCUGA
rnacentral:rRNA from 1 species